GGCUGAGUUAGAUCGCUGCACCUUCCCUGAAUUUUUUCCAAUUUCCACCAAAAUCUGGCAUUGACUGACUGCAUAAGCAUGUCUGUGUGGGACAAAAACAAACUUAUAACCUUGACAACGUACAGUUGUCACGCCAGUGGCCAUGAAAAUGUACCUAAAAUAUUUGAUUUGCUCACACGAGCGAAUUCAUUUUGGAGACGUUAGACAUGACAUGCCUUUUCCGCAGACUGUAACGAAUUCCCUAAUUUUGUAAGGCAGGGUACGCCCGUUCGCAGGUUGUGAACUUGAUUCUUGAACAUUUCUGGUCAUAUUUGCUUCAUAGUUAUUCAAAUGCAGUUCUAAAUUAUUUACCUCAUUAUUUUAUUUUCUCUAACGCUAGACUGGCAGACUUUCACCACAGGGGGUCCAACUAAGAGCUG